rnacentral:rRNA from 1 species
GACGAACGCUGGCGGCGUGCUUAACACAUGCAAGUCGAACGGAAAGGCCCUGCUUUUGUGGGGUGCUCGAGUGGCGAACGGGUGAGUAACACGUGAGUAACCUGCCCUUGACUUUGGGAUAACUUCAGGAAACUGGGGCUAAUACCGGAUAGGAGCUCCUGCUGCAUGGUGGGGGUUGGAAAGUUUCGGCGGUUGGGGAUGGACUCGCGGCGUAUCAGCUUGUUGGUGGGGUAGUGGCUUACCAAGGCUUUGACGGGUAGCCGGCCUGAGAGGGUGACCGGCCACAUUGGGACUGAGAUACGGCCGAGACUCCUACGGGAGGCAGCAGUGGGGAAUAUUGCACAAUGGGCGGAAGCCUGAUGCAGCAACGCCGCGUGCGGGAUGACGGCCUUCGGGUUGUAAACCGCUUUCGCCUGGGACGAAGCGUGAGUGACGGUAAUGGGUAAAGAAGCACCGGCUAACUACG